GUUAUGGUUUAUUAUAUUCUUAGGUUCCCAAGUCAGUGCUCUUUCCUCCUGCCCUUGCUCUCUGGUUCUGUUUUCACGGCUAUGUGAAAGAGUAGGUGGUGUGCUCGUUCUCUGGGGGUCUUCUUUUGGAGAACCCGGAGAGCGGAAAUAAAACGUGUUGAAAACCUCAGCCAUCCCCAUUCAAACCGCGUCUCAAUUUCUUUUACACGUGAACGUUUUUCUCCUACUUUGACCCUCUAGGCUUCCCAUCCUCUGGGCCUCGGCGCACAUGCGCAGACGCCCGGCGACCUCCUGGCUCGGAGUCUCCGCCGCUCUGACAAUGGCGGCCCGCGGCGUGGGACUGUUGACCCGGUUGUCCCUCGGUGCUCAGAGAAAUCAAGUCCAGCGUGCUCUCCGUAGGCUUCUCAGUUGUCCGGGAACGGUGGCCGCAGACCUCAGGAGAGAAGAGCAGUUCUCGGGGAGCGCGGAGACAGGCUCUGAAGACAGGAUUCCCAAGAAGAGAUUCUCAGAGGUGCAAGAAGAAAGACGAGAACAGGCCCAGCGGACAGUGUUAAUCCACUGCCCAAAUAAAAUCAGUGAGAAGAAGUUUCUCCAGUAUUUAUCCCAACACGGACCCGUUAACAGCCACUUCUUCUAUGAAAGCUUUGGUCUUUAUGCCGUUGUAGAAUUUUGUCAGAAGGAAAGUGUAGCUUCACUGCAGAGUGUGACUCGUACGCCAAGCCGGGGCGCAGAGGCUGCAAUUCCAUUCAGGUCCCGGUACUUCAGUUUAAAGUUGAGGAAUCCAUCAAGCCAGCCUUCGGAACAGUCAAGUGUUCAGUGUAGUAAUCAGUCCUCUCCUUCAAGCAAGAAGCUUUUUGAAUUACUUUGUUGUGCAGAAAGUGUAGAUGAUCAGCUGACUGCCCUCCUGAAGACAUUCCAGCUCACAGAAGAGAACACCAAACUCCGCUAUCUCACCUGCUCUCUUAUUGAGGACAUAGCGGCUGCAUAUUUUCCAGGCUGUGCAGUCAGACCCUUUGGCUCUUCAGUGAACAGUUUUGGGAAAUUAGGAUGUGAUUUGGACAUGUUUUUGGAUCUGGAUGAAAUUGGAAACUUUAGUGCCCAAAAGGCUUCAGGAAAUUUUCUGAUGGAAUUUCAAGUGAAAAAUGUUCCUUCGGAAAGAAUUGUGACUCAGAAGAUCCUGUCUGUGAUAGGGGAGUGCCUUGAUCACUUUGGCCCCGGCUGUGUCGGGGUGCAGAAGAUCCUAAAUGCUCGGUGUCCCCUGGUCAGGUUCUCGCACCAGGCCUCCGGGUUUCAGUGUGAUUUGACCACUAACAAUAGGAUCGCCUUGAAAAGUUCCGAGCUGCUUUAUCUGUACGGUGCCCUGGACUCACGCGUGAGAGCCUUGGUGUUCAGCAUCCGAUGCUGGGCUCGAGUGCAUUCGUUAACAAGUAGUAUUCCUGGUGCUUGGAUUACAAAUUUCUCCCUCACCAUGAUGGUCAUCUUCUUUCUCCAGAGGAGAUCACCCCCUAUUCUUCCAACACUAGACUCCUUGAAAUCCCUAGCGGAUGCAGAAGAUAAGUGUAUAAUAGAAGGCCACAACUGUACAUUUGUUCGUGACUUGAAUAAAAUUAAACCUUCAGGAAACACAGAAUCACUAGAAUUACUACUGAAAGAAUUUUUUGAAUAUUUUGGAAAUUUCGCUUUCAAUAAAAAUUCCAUAAAUAUUCGACAGGGAAGGGAACAAAACAAACCUGAAUCUUCUCCACUGCACAUUCAGAAUCCAUUUGAAACCUCUCUCAACAUAAGCAAAAAUGUAAGUCAAAGCCAGCUGCAAAAAUUUGUAGAGCUGGCCAGAGAAAGCGCCUGGAUUUUACAUCAGGAAGUUAAAGAACGCCAGUCAAGCAACCAGCCCUGGGGGCUGGCCACCCUGCUGCUGCCUUCUGUAGCAAAUAACAUAUCUUUUGUCAAGAAGCGAAAGAAGCCUGCAAGUGAAAGAAUUAAAAACUUGUUGGAAUCCAUAAAAAGUAGCAGCACAGAACAUCCCACAGACACCAAUGGGAAAAGAGCUGUUAACACUCAGGCAUGAUGGUGGCUGCUUUGCCUUCAGAACUGGUUUUUGUCCUGUACGAUGAUCUCUGGACCUGGAAGAACUGCGUGAAACUCACAGAUCACCCUGUCUUCUGCUGUCUCUCUUCAUGAUCUCUUCUCUUUGGGCCCCUUAACCUGGUCCGAUGUCCUGCGACAUUUUUGGUCUGAUGCCCAGGGAUGCUGUGGUGAAACGUUAGCCGAGGGAACAGGUGACAGAAGAUUGGAAUGUGCUUCAGAUAAACCAUACAGAUCAGUUUUAGAAUCAAACCGUUGUUGAUUCCACAUCAGUCCCAGGGUGUAAAUCAUUGAAAAGAACUCUCUAGGGUGAGAACAGAAUUAGACUGUUUCAAGUCACUUCAUGUUCCUAGAGAUUCCUUGGCUUUAGAAGGACAGCUCUGUUCAGUUCCAUACGGCCUGCUGGUGCCAGAGUAGGAACAUGCUCCCUUUGCAUGCCUAAGUCUAAACCUGCGCAGUGAGCAUCUGUGGCAGAAGCGGCAGAAAGAGCAGCCGAGCCAGGUGGUGGCUCUCUCCACUCGCCAGAGCUUGGUACUCAGCUGGUGAGUAGCUGUCAUUGCGUCUUGAUGCAGCGAAACCAUCCAAAAUGCUGUCACAAGGAGGAAAUCUUUUCUGCCCAAGAUGAUCAGAAAAGGCUUCAUCCAUCACAUAGAAUAGGAUAGGUCUUGACGGGAAUUGUCAUCUGUGUCGUCCAGAGCCAGGGCCUGGAGUUUGUCAUUCUGGGAGCAGAAGUGUAAAUAGGAGCCAGGAGGAGGAGGCGUGUUUGGAGACCUGGCCGGCCAGGCCAGCAGGGAUGGGAUUUUGCUCUGGUACUCAGGGAAUCAAGGCUGAGGGAGAUGGUGAGACUGCCCAUGGUGAGCCAAGGAGGUGGUGUGUUUUCAGCGGGAAAGCGUUGAAGGUUUCUGUGUUACGGAAAAGUAGAAGCUAAAGCACUGCUUUAGAUGACUCAUCUGUUAGCAAGCAGUUACCGAGCACUGCUCCUUUUUUUCUUAGCAGAUUUGAGUACCUUAGGUCCCAUCAUUAAAUUCGGUAAAAUUUGGCUGUGAAAUUUUCCACAAAGGUCCAGAAGCUGAUUUUCAUAUACCUCACAGGAGUCUUUCUCUAAUGUUUAACAAGUAAGUAAAGUUUAAGAGGUUUAAAGCGAUCAUCAGGAAAUAUCAUCAGGUAAUGACAUAUAAUUUUAUGUAAAGCCUUACUAAUGAGAAAUUCUUUGCAGUAUAUACUUGGAAAAGAUUGAAAACAUGACCAGAAAUCACUUUUCACCUUGGGAUGAUGUUGGAAAAUUUAUUUUAAAUACUUGAAAGGCUUAUUUCAGUUUCCAUGCUGAGUCCAAUUACUUGUGGGUACAUAUUCCAACGAAUAUAAACAUUACAGCGUUCCUCUGGAAUUCCCAUGGAGCAGCUCCCAGAAAAUGUCUACUUUAGAUAGAAUCUUUAAUCUGUAAUCUCUAUGAUAUAGGAUAUAUAAAUCACCACAUUUUAAAAAUAUACUACUCAUUUUUUUUUUUUUUGGUCUUUUGUCUUUUUUUUUUUUAGGGCUGCACUCGUGGCACAUGGAAGUUCCCAGGCUAGGGGUCCAAUUGCAGCUGUAGCUGCCGGCCUACACCACAGCCACAGCAACUCGGGAUCCGAGCCACCUCUGCAACCUUCACUACAGCUCACAGCAACACUGGAUCCUUAACCCACUGAUCGACGCCAGGGAUCAAACCCCUGUCCUCAUGGAUGCCAGUCAGGUUCAUUAACUGUUGAGCUAUGACGGGAACUCUGGAAAAAUACACUACUCAUAUUUUAAAUGUGAUCCCUCAUGUUACCUGUGCGUAUGCAUGUCCACCCAUCGUUAAGAACUCAGUGGAGUCAAGGACGUAUUAAAUGCAUUAUUCACUUUUUCUCUCUACCCUUCGAUGAAUCCAUUUAAACUCUCAUGGCAAAGUUUCUAAGCUUUGAGGAUGUGAUGCUGAGAUGUUUUAAAGAGAAUAUUGGAAAGAGAGGACUUGAAACCAUAAAUGUUACACGGUGAAGAUACAUGUAUGAUAAAAUAGCUAAUUUGGAAUAGGCCAAGUCUAAGUAAAUGAAAAAAUAUAAAUUAUAGAUUGUUCUUUCUUCUGGGUUUAUUUUGAAGUAUGGCACAUUGGAAACUUAAACUAUCAUCGAUGCUGUCAAAUGAAAUGGAACAAAUUAACAAAAGAUUACGAAUGAGGUCUGUGUUACGUUCUGUGUCACCACAGCUCAUUAACAUGUGACACUUGUCAAGUGCAGUGAAAGUUUGUACAUUUUGAAGUUUUUCCUAUUGCAGAGUUACUGGAAUAGGAUUUAGACUAAUGUAACUUAAUGAUUAGUGUUUUAUAAUUAAUCUUUGCUAAGCUUAACACGUGGGCUUGGAGAAUGAUGAGAAGUGACAUUAACAUCUCUUUUACAAACUCUUAAAAACUGAGUCGAAGGUGGAUUAAUGAGGCUGGCUGAUGUUGCAAUGGAAUUUGAAGCUCAAAAAUCUGUUUUUUUAAAAUCCAUGUAAAAUGUAAAUUAUACUUCUGUAGACAUACAUAUCACUAUAAAACUAGAGCAAGCUUGGCCUUAUUUUUUUUUUUUUAGCAGUUGAUUUUGGUGACUUUAAAAGGGUUGUUUGUAUGUGACAGCAUCCCCCCUUUCUCCCAAUUCUCUAAUUGAACCUACAGUAAUAAGCAUCCUUGGAGUUUCCCUGCUUUUCUUCUUGGCAUCACUGGUUAUAAAGCUCAGUUACCAGUACUGAGUGGUUUCCUUUAGCUUUAUAUAAUUGCGUUUUUAAAAAAGGUUUACAGGAGAUCCUGUCAUGGCUCAGCAGAAGUGAAUCUGACUAGCAUUCAUGAGGACGCAAGUUCAGUCCCUGGCCUUUCUCAGUGAGUUAAGGAUCCGGUGUCGCAGUGAGCUAUGGUGUAGGUCACAGACGCUGCUCAGAUCUCAUGUUGCUGUGGCUGUGGCAUAGGCCAAUGGCUACAGCUCCAAUUUGACCCCUAGCCCAGAGACAGGUGCAGCCCUAAAAAGAAAAAAAAAAGUAAAAAAAUUUUUCACAUUUUAUAUUUUUACUUGAUCCCUUCUUUUUUUUUAAGAAAUGAUGACUAAGAGUAACGGUGAGCAGUGGUACUUGACUUACCGGUUGUUUGGUGAUAAGAUAGACUCAAAUAAUCAGUUUUUAUAGAAGACUGAUUUCAAGAGCUUCACCCUCACCUCUGGACAGAGGACUGUCAAAUCACUAUUUUAGUCCCACCGCUAGAACUUCAUCAUUAUUGUGUAUUGGACUUUGUGCUUCAGCUCCAAAUCGGCAGUUUAAAUGAAAAUUUUCUUCCUUAAAAUUGGCUAACCUCUUAAUUUGCCUAUUUCUGUUGUUGGUACCAUUAUUCUCAGCCACUUGAGUUCAAACUCUGAGAUCCUUUUAGACUCCUUUUUUCUCCUGUUUAAUUAAUCUCUCUCUGUUUCUGUUGGCAUUAGCUUAGUUCACGUCAGUACCUAUCUUCUAAUACACCAGUCUUUUGGCUUGUUUCCCAGCCCAGUGACCCCUUCUGUGAUCCAUGCGAACCAAUUUUCUAAGGAGUAGGAGUCAAGAAAGUACGUUUUAUGGUAAAUUAAUAUUAAAUUAUAUGUGUUUGUUUAUUGUAAAGAUACCUUGGAAUUGUACAGAGCUUUAAGGUCAUUCUAAAUAUCAGGGAACAUCUUUGUGUAGGUGUCCAAAACAGACACCGACUGAAGGUUCUAAUUAGUCAAAAGCACUGGUUUUUUCUCUAACAUCAAACUGUUUAUACACACUAUUGACUUCUUAAAGUUUUCAAACUUCUCUAGUAAUAACAAUCCCAAAAUACUGGUACAACGGAGUCACUCAUUCAGCAAAUAUUUCCCCGGAUUGCUGUGUGCCAGACACUCUCCAACUGAGACGUAAAUACCAAGAGAGACAAAAAUUUUGAAUUGCUGGAAAAAAUGAUGUUUAUUCCUGAAGAGCGAGGCUUAGUGUAAGGGUAACAGUUUUGCGUAUGUAUCAAUUAAUAAAGGUGCAACCAAUUAAAAUCCUGUAAGGAUUUUUAAAAGAAACUUGAAACUCAUUGGAAGUAUAUGAGGAAGAAUAAAUAUAUAAAAGUAGCCAGAAGAAAUUUUUUUUUUUUUUUUCUUUUUAGGGCCACACUUGUAGUAUAUAGAAGUUCCCAGGCUAGGGGUCCAAUCUGAGCUACAGCUGUCUGCCACAGCCACAGCCACGACUCAGGAUCUGAGCCGUGUCUGCAGCCUACACCACAGCUCACGGCAACACUGGAUCUUUAACCCACUGAUCAAGGCCAGGGAUUGAAUCUGCAUCCUCUUGGAUACCAGUCAGGUUCAUAACCAUUGAGCCACUAUAGAAACUCCAAAAAAUUGUUUUAUUUAAUAAGUAACAUUAAAAUAUAAGGCAAGGUAAUUUAAACAAUACUGCUGGCUUGAGAUAGACAAAUCUUUGGAUCAGUACAGAAAUAUACUCAAACUAUAUAUGGGAAUUUAUAGUAAUAAAAGGCAAUAUUUCAAGUCAAUAGAAAGAUGGAUUAUUCAGUAAAUUGUGUUGGGACAACUGGUAGCUAUUGGAAAAGAAAAGUUUGACCCUAGUCUUACUCUUUACCCAAAUAAAUUCCAGGUGGGUCUGAAUCUAAAUGUGAGGCGGGGGAGUGAAAUCAUAAAGUGCAAAAGAAAUCAUAGAUGAAUAUUAUAAACCUAGGGUAGGGCAGGGUGCCUUUUCAAAGCAUGACAUGCAUUUAUGAAAGAAUAUAUUGAUAAGUUUGACUACUUUAGAAUGGAAAACUAUACCACAAAGCAACCAUAAAUAAAGUUUAAAAUUCUAAUACUAAUGAAAAGGGCCAAUUUUUCUAAUGAGCUCUACAAAUCUAAAAGUAGUAGGCAAAGACAACUUACCUAUUAUGAAGAAUUUGAACACAAGCAAAAGUAAACUGAAAAGUAUUAGGAACUUGCAUAAAUCCAUCACCUCUUUCAGUAAUUAACUCAUGGCAAUUGGCUUUAAUCUAUAACUGUAUUUAUUUACCCCACCUGUAUUAUUUUAAGGAUAUUCCAGUCAUACUAUCAUUUUAUCUGUAAAUAUGUCCAUUCCCUCCAGAACGAUAAGAACUUUUCUCUAACAUAAUCACAAAUCAUUAUCAAACCUACGUAGAACAAACGCAAGCAAUAAUUCUCUAAUAUCUUCAUAUCCAUUCAGAGUUCAGGUUUCCAGUUGUGUUACGGAUCUCACAGUUGUUUUUUCCCAAAGCACGUUUAUUGGGGUCCGGUCAUAGUCCCCACCUUGUGAUUGGUUGAUGCAUUUCUGAAGUCUCUUGAAUUUUUAGGUUUCUGCUUCAUAUCUCUUUUUUUGUCUUUUUGCAAGUUUUUGAAGAUACCGAGUUGUUUUUCUUAUAGCGUUUCCUGCAACAUGGAUUGUGCUGAUUUUGUCAGCGCCUGUGAUGAUGUGCUGUGGAGUCAUUCUUUAACUGUGUCUAAUUUUUUAAACCCUUUCAUUGAAUUCUCAAUUCCAGGAGGUUUUGUUUGUUUGUUUCCAGUUCUAGAAUUUCUAUUUGGUACUUAAAAAAAAUUUUUUUUUCUAAUUUUCUGACAAAUUUCUCAGGCACAACUUUGAUUUUCUUAUGAAGUCUGUCUAAUAACUUGAUUAUCUGGUCGGCUCCUGUUUUCCAUGAUGUUGUUGACCCCUCUCCUUGUGUACCUAACUGUUGUUACCCUGUGUGCUGACCUGGUAGGUGAAAAACAGUAGAUGACGUGAGGGAGGGCGAUGCUGAUCUUCCUUCAGGAUGGAUGUAUUUUUGCUUCCGGAAGGUGGGUAGGAGGACUUAGGAUCCUGAAUCACCGUGAUCUAGAAAGAAAGGGCAUGAGAUUUUGAAGUUGGAUUGAGUUCCAGAUUCUGGUUCAUCUUUCCUCUCAGAAUGUUAGCCUCACCCAGAGCCAGGAGCGUUUACCAGGCCUCUUUUCCUUGAUAGACCUUGAGCUCCAGUUCUUGUCCCGUUUCCCCGUGACCUUUCUGAAAGCUCUGCUCAGCAGAUGUCCAAAUGGGCUCACCUGUGGAGGUGUGCUUCUCCACGGCCCUGCAAGUCUUCACUGCCCUAGUAGCAUCUGGAUGCUCUCAGGCAACUGCUUCUUGUUUUGCCUGGCGGAAAGUUGUCGUCAGUGAGAGAGGUGGUAGGUACUACCUAGUCUGAUGUUACCGGAAGCCGGUGAGCUCUUUUUGAUUCCAGCUUCUGAUCCCUUAUGUAUAUAUAUUUGUAAUUUUAUAGGACUGAUGUAUACUGUUCCUGUGGUUUACUUCCUUGCAAGGGACUUUCACAUGUUGAGUUGGGCUUUGUAUGUAUAGCAGCGCAGACACCUGGCUGGAGGGAAAGCCUGGUUCACCACUGAGGAAGCAAGGUACUGCAUAUGUUGCUGGGCUCUGCUUCAGAAAUCGCCAGCUUUUAUUUCUGGAUUGUGAUUUCCUCAUAGAGGAUCUUGUACAUGCCAAUUCAAAGUUUAAAUUUAUGCCAUGUGUGAAUGAGUGGCAAAGCGCCCAAGUAAGAAUGGGGAAAAAUAUCUUCUUUUUCCAAUCAUAUUCAGACACCUCAAACAACUAGGAAAUACACUUUUUCUUCCAGCUUUCCAAAAUAUUUAUCUGGGCUGAGGUCAAGAAUGAAAGCAUUUUAGGCCAAAGUGCAUCUUGAAAAUUUUAUGAUUUAUAAAAGAGUUUAAAAAUUCUCUUUUGAAUUAAAGCCUAUGUUAUUAUCAGAGUGUUUUAUUUAUGAACACACAAUAUUAGUGAAUUUAUAUAUCAGUGAAAUAUUUUAAGUGUAUCUUUUCUGUUAUUUCUCUAAUAUUUGAUUAUUUCAUGUUUGUGGUUUAUUAGUUUAAUUAUCAGCAUAUAUUUGUUUAGGUAACAGAGAAGCAGCAAUUAACAAUAUCUAUAUUAUUUUGAGUUAGUUUUCAACUUGUAUUUAUAAUUUGCUACAUAUAUUCUACCAUUUAUAUAUUUCCAGGAACUUUAAUUUAGGUCUCUAAAUAUUUAAUAAAAUCAUUUUGCAGACUAAAUUAUUUGAUGUUUUUAUCUUGAUUACUCUGAACAAAGCCAGUACUUCAAGUUUAUCCUUGAUGCUUCAGGGUGAAAAUUGUGUUAAGUAGUAUUUGAAUUUAAAUGUGGUUUUAAAAUGUUUCUUAAUUCUAAAGCCCUUUGUAGUUCCCAUUUUCUAAGUAAUAUUAGCUAUAUUUGAUCUUCUGAUGAAGAGAGACUUGACUAUGAUUAAAUAUGUGCAGUACCAUCCUGGAAUAAAUUUUUAUUCAUAGAUUAAUAAAAUAUGUGCAGCAUGAUUUAGGAGAAAAUAUUUUAGGCCAUUAAAUUUAGUUACAUAAGCUACAGUCUGUUUUAAAUUCUGUGCAACAAAAUCUGUUUUGCUUUAAAAAUAAAAUGUUCAUUACACUGGGAAAUGUGGAAUAUUAGUUUUUCAAGGCCAUCAGAAGCAUCUCCAAUCACAUAUUUAGGAAAUUUUAAAAAUACUAGUUUUAGCCUGUCAACUUAAUGGCAUUUGUUAUUAUUGUCUAAUUUUCUUAUCUGUACUUAAAAGCCUUAAGAAUGCUUAAUCUUUGA